UCGGCUUCAGGUGCUGCAUGGCUGUCGUCAGCUCGUGUCGUGAGAUGUUGGGUUAAGUCCCGCAACGAGCGCAACCCUCGCUCUUAGUUGCCAGCAUUCAGUUGGGCACUCUAAGAGAACCGCCGGUGAUAAGCCGGAGGAAGGUGGGGAUGACGUCAAGUCCUCAUGGCCCUUACGGGGUGGGCUACACACGUGCUACAAUGGCAGUGACAAUGGGUUAAUCCCCAAAAACUGUCUCAGUUCGGAUUGUCCUCUGCAACUCGAGGGCAUGAAGUUGGAAUCGCUAGUAAUCGCGUAACAGCAUGACGCGGUGAAUACGUUCCCGGGCCUUGUACACACCGCCCGUCACACCAUGGGAGUUGGGUUUACCCGAAGACGGUGCGCUGACUUCGGAGGCAGCCGGCCACGGUAGGCUCAGCGACUGGGGUGAAGUCGUAACAAGGUAGCCGUAGGGGAACCUGC
rnacentral:rRNA from 1 species